rnacentral:rRNA from 1 species
GUGGGGAAUCUUAGACAAUGGGCGCAAGCCUGAUCCAGCCAUGCCGCGUGAGUGAUGAAGGCCCUAGGGUUGUAAAGCUCUUUCAACGGUGAAGAUAAUGACGGUAACCGUAGAAGAAGCCCCGGCUAACUUCGUGCCAGCAGCCGCGGUAAUACGAAGGGGGCUAGCGUUGUUCGGAAUUACUGGGCGUAAAGCGCACGUAGGCGGGUAUUUAAGUCAGGGGUGAAAUCCCGGGGCUCAACUCCGGAACUGCCUUUGAUACUGGGUACCUAGAGUAUGGAAGAGGUAAGUGGAAUUCCGAGUGUAGAGGUGAAAUUCGUAGAUAUUCGGAGGAACACCAGUGGCGAAGGCGGCUUACUGGUCCAUUACUGACGCUGAGGUGCGAAAGCGUGGGGAGCAAACAGGAUUAGAAACCCGGGUAGUCC